UAAUAAACAUAGGAAAAGGUAGUUGCUGGAAACAACUACCCCUUGCAGAACCGUUUAAGACGGUGGCUUGUUAUAAAUUAUUAAAAA
rnacentral:sRNA from 1 species